GCCUUCGUGGUCUAGUUGGUUAUGACGUCGGUCUCAUAAUCCGAAGGUCUCCAGUUCGAACCUGGACGAGGGCA
rnacentral:tRNA from 7 species